AAGCCAUCCAUGGAACAUGGACAGAAAACAGGAAAGGGUCAUUGGGCAUAAUUCUCCCAAACUGCAAUGAAUGCGAUAGAUUCAUUCCUUCUGGUAAGGGAUCAAGACUGAUCAUCUUAGAUGCUGGUUCGGUUGAUCGGGGUUACCAGUAAGGCACUGCGAGUUAAACCCAAUAGAGAUAAUUCAAGCACAAGAAAAGGCCUAUGUCGCCCGAAAAAAUAC